rnacentral:rRNA from 1 species
CACGUAGGCGGAUCUUUAAGUCAGAGGUGAAAUCCCAAGGCUCAACCUUGGAACUGCCUUUGAUACUGGAGAUCUUGAGUCCGGGAGAGGUGAGUGGAACUGCGAGUGUAGAGGUGAAAUUCGUAGAUAUUCGCAAGAACACCAGUGGCGAAGGCGGCUCACUGGCCCGGUACUGACGCUGAGGUGCGAAAGCGUGGGAGCAAACA